AUGGGUCAGCGACUUAUAUUCUGUAGCAAGGUUAACCGUAUAGGGGAGCCGAAGGGAAACCGAGUCUUAACUGGGCGUUAAGUUGCAGGGUAUAGACCCGAAACCCGGUGAUCUAGCCAUGGGCAGGUUGAAGGUUGGGUAACACUAACUGGAGGACCGAACCGACUAAUGUUGAAAAAUUAGCGGAUGACUUGUGGCUGGGGGUGAAAGGCCAAUCAAACCGGGAGAUAGCUGGUUCUCCCCGAAAGCUAUUUAGGUAGCGCCUCGUGAACUCAUCUUCGGGGGUAGAGCACUGUUUCGGCUAGGGGGUCAUCCCGACUUACCAACCCGAUGCAAACUGCGAAUACCGAAGAAUGUUAUCACGGGAGACACACGGCGGGUGCUAACGUCCGUCGUGAAGAGGGAAACAACCCAGACCGCCAGCUAAGGUCCCAAAGUCACAGUUAAGUGGGAAACGAUGUGGGAAGGCUCAGACAGCCAGGAUGUUGGCUUAGAAGCAGCCAUCAUUUAAAGAAAGCGUAAUAGCUCACUGGUCGAGUCGGCCUGCGCGGAAGAUGUAACGGGGCUAAACUGUGCACCGAAGCUGCGGCAGCGACGCUUAUGCGUUGUUGGGUAGGGGAGCGUUCUGUAAGCCUGCGAAGGUGUCCUGUGAGGGAUGCUGGAGGUAUCAGAAGUGCGAAUGCUGACAUAAGUAACGAUAAUGCGGGUGAAAAGCCCGCUCGCCGGAAGACCAAGGGUUCCUGUCCAACGUUAAUCGGGGCAGGGUGAGUCGACCCCUAAGGCGAGGCCGAAAGGCGUAGUCGAUGGGAAACGGGUUAAUAUUCCCGUACUUGGUGUUACUGCGAAGGGGGGACGGAGAAGGCUAUGUUGGCCGGGCGACGGUUGUCCCGGUUUAAGCGUGUAGGCUGGUUUUCCAGGCAAAUCCGGAAAAUCAAG
rnacentral:rRNA from 1 species